rnacentral:sRNA from 1 species
AACGAGAUCGAUCGAUUUUGCCAUGUGAUUGGACGAUGCCAAGAACCAGAUGGAGAAUAUUGCCGUGGACGCCUACUCGAAGAUAGAAAAUGUGGUAUAAAUCGUUGCUGCCUACGUAAAUAUGAGGCAAAAAAA